rnacentral:rRNA from 1 species
CUAGCGGCGGACGGGUGAGUAACGCGUGGGAACGUGCCCUUCUCUACGGAAUAGUCCCGGGAAACUGGGUUUAAUACCGUAUACGCCCUUCGGGGGAAAGAUUUAUCGGAGAAGGAUCGGCCCGCGUUAGAUUAGGUAGUUGGUGGGGUAAUGGCCUACCAAGCCUACGAUCUAUAGCUGGUUUGAGAGGAUGAUCAGCCACACUGGGACUGAGACACGGCCCAGACUCCUACGGGAGGCAGCAGUGGGGAAUCUUAGACAAUGGGGGCAACCCUGAUCUAGCCAUGCCGCGUGAGUGAUGAAGGCCUUAGGGUCGUAAAGCUCUUUCGCUGGGGAAGAUAAUGACUGUACCCAGUAAAGAAACCCCGGCUAACUCCGUGCCAGCAGCCGCGGUAAUACGGAGGGGGUUAGCGUUGUUCGGAAUUACUGGGCGUAAAGCGCGCGUAGGCGGAUUGGAAAGUUGGGGGUGAAAUCCCGGGGCUCAACCUCGGAACUGCCUCCAAAACUCCCAGUCUUGAGUUCGAGAGAGGUGAGUGGAACUCCGAGUGUAGAGGUGAAAUUCGUAGAUAUUCGGAAGAACACCAGUGGCGAAGGCGGCUCACUGGCUCGAUACUGACGCUGAGGUGCGAAAGUGUGGGGAGCAAACAGGAUUAGAUACCCUGGUAGUCCACACCGUAGACGAUGAAUGCCAGUCGUCGGCAAGCAUGCUUGUCGGUGACACACCUAACGGAUUAAGCAUUCCGCCUGGGGGAGUACGGUCGCAAGAUUAAAACUCAAAGAAAUUGACGGGGGCCCGCACAAGCGGUGGAGCGUGUGGUUUAAUUCGAAACAACGCGCAGAACCUUAACCGACCCUUUGACAUCCUCGGACCGCCAGAGAGAUCUGGUUUUGCACUUCCGGUGACCGAGUGACAGGUGCUGCAUGGCUGUGUCAGCUCGUGU